rnacentral:rRNA from 1 species
UACGGAGGGUGCGAGUGUUGUCCGGAAUCAUUGGGCGUAAAGGGCGCGUAGGUGGCCUGGUCAGUUCGUGGUGAAAGCGCGGGGCUCAACUCCGCGUCGGCCAUGAAUACUGCUGGGCUUGAGCACUGUAGAGGCAGGCGGAAUUCCGGGUGUAGCGGUGGAAUGCGUAGAGAUCCGGAAGAACACCGGUGGCGAAGGCGGCUCGCUGGGCCAAUGCUGACGCUGAUGCGCGAAAGCGUGGGGAGCAAACAGG